GAGAGAGAGAGAGAGAGAAUUACACAGACACUUUUUUUUUUUAUCAAAGCCAUGAUCACAGAAGGCGAAAAAUAUGCGUUAAAGGAAAAUAUUUAAUUCCUCCUCGGUUAAUGGUUCUGCAAUCAAAAAGACAAAAUGCAGGACUUUUCAUUACACGGAAGCCAAUUAUUUGCGCACCAAUGGAAGCAGAGCUGCCAUGCAAGGCGCUAACUUGCCAUCGGGAACAACUUGGGGUUCACAGUCUUGCCCAAGGACACUUCGGCAUGUGGAGUCACGUGGGCCGGGAAUUGAACCUCCAGCCCUACGAUUAAUGCACAACCCGCUCUACCUACCUGAACCGCCCAAUUAAUUAAAGGCUUGUAAGUUCCGUGGGCUGGAUGGAUGACACAAAUGGCAUUUGUUCACUAGCUGGCCAGCUUCCAAGAUGUGCAUCUGUAAAGAGUGGCAAUCAGAUAGCA
ensembl:lncRNA